rnacentral:rRNA from 1 species
AUACGGAGGAUGCGAGCGUUAUCCGGAUUUAUUGGGUUUAAAGGGUGCGCAGGCGGCCAUUUAAGUCAGCGGUUAAAUCGUGGGGCUCAACCCCAUUCUGCCGUUGAUACUGGGUGGCUUGAUUGCGGUCGAGGUUGGCGGAAUUCGUUGUGUAGCGGUGAAAUGCAUAGAUAUGACGAAGAACACCGAUUGCGUAGGCAGCUGACCAGACCGCAAAUGACGCUCAUGCACGAAAGUGCGGGGAUCGAACAGGAUUAGAUACCCUGGUAGUCCGCACAGUAAACGAUGAAUACUUGUUUUCGGCGAUAUAAUGUCGGAGGCAAAGCGAAAGCGAUAAGUAUUCCGCCUGGGGAGUACGGCCGCAAGGUUGAAACUCAAAGGAAUUGACGGGG